rnacentral:rRNA from 1 species
AGUGAACGCUGGCGGUAGGCCUAACACAUGCAAGUCGAACGGCAGCACAGUAAGAGCUUGCUCUUACGGGUGGCGAGUGGCGGACGGGUGAGGAAUACAUCGGAAUCUACUUUUUCGUGGGGGGUAACGUAGGGAAACUUACGCUAAUACCGCAUACGACCUACGGGUGAAAGAAGGGGAUCUUCGGACCUUGCGCGAUUGAAUGAGCCGAUGUCGGAUUAGCUAGUUGGCGGGGUAAAGGCCCACCAAGGCGACGAUCCGUAGCUGGUCUGAGAGGAUGAUCAGCCACACUGGAACUGAGACACGUUCCAGACUCCUACGGGAGGCAGCAGUGGGGAAUAUUGGACAAUGGGCGCAAGCCUGAUCCAGCCAUACCGCGUGGGUGAAGAAGGCCUUCGGGUUGUAAAGCCCUUUUGUUGGGAAAGAAAAGCAGCAGGUUAAUACCCCGCUGUUCUGACGGUACCCAAAGAAUAAGCACCGGCUAACUUCGUG